GUGCUCGCUUCGGCAGCACAUAUACUAAAAUUGGAACGAUAGAAGAUUAGCAUGGCCUCUGCGCGAGGAUGACGCGCAAAUUAAAAAGAAAAAAGUAUUUCAU